rnacentral:lncRNA from 1 species
AAUUUGAUCCUCAUAAAAUUCAGCAUUCCAAAGAAUUGGGGGUAGGAAACUUGAGCCCCACUUUGAGAUGGGGUGGAUUCCUCUUGAGAUACUCUACAGCACACAUACUCUUGACCUUUUCAUGUAUCUCUGUCUCCUAAUUUCGCAGGAAAUAUAGGAAAAGGAACAAGGAAAAAACAUAGUGACAGCCAGGAAUAUUGAAUGUCACCUUAUA